rnacentral:lncRNA from 1 species
AUGAUAUCAAUUAAAUGUUUAUUUUUUUGUUAGAUAGAUUAUAAUCUAUAGUCUUUACCAUUAUGUAAACGAGUUUAAACUCAUUUAACCUACCUCGUUACUUGAAUAUAAGAAACUAUAAUUUAAAUAAGAAAUUUUUAAUUUUAUUAUACAAGAAACAUGAAUCUUUUAUAUACAUACCUUCACUAUGGAUCUUUAUAAGAACUGUCAUUUAGCUAUGUAAUCAUUCAUAAUAGAAAAUGUAAAAAGAAAAUUGGUUGUUUGGUUAGCAGAUUUAAUGUUUUUUAAGUUUUUUUUUUUUGAAAAAUGUUUUUUUUUAAAGUUUUAAUGUAAUUUAAUAUGUUUCUUAAUUACUAGGAUAUUAACUAUAGUUACCAAACUCAAUACUCUUUCAAAAGUUGACAAAAUAUGUAGCAUAUAGCUUUCCUAAUAUAUUCAGCAUUGAAUUAAUAUUCAAAUUAAUAAUAACUUUUUCUUUUCUUUUUGAAUUUAGAUCAUUGAUGUGAGCAUCUAUCGGUCACGGCGAAGACCGACAACCCAAAAAAAAAACCUCAUGAAGUUUUCAUGGGACUCUCUCUCGCGUUAGUUGUGAAUUGUGAUCUCUCUCCAUCGCGAUAACAUGUGUGCCAACCAGAGACUUCUUCUCUUUCCUUUAAUAACAAUAAACUCUUAUGCAUGGAAAGUUCAAGUCCAACGAAAGACUUUCAUCUUUCUAAACUCUUCGAAGUUCAAACUUAACCCCAUAUAGUCAUUGCGGUAAUUAAAAGUCAAUAAACAUUUGUAUCUUACUGGAUAUUUAUGCAUAUUUUUAUAGCUAAAGAUAAGUUGUCAUACAAACAUCUCUGUCAUCAAAA